GAUGAACGCUAGCGGGAGGCCCAACACAUGCAAGCCGAGCGGUAUUGUUUCUUCGGAAAUGAGAGAACGGCGUACGGGUGCGGAACACGUGUGCAACCUGCCUUUAUCUGGGGGAUAGCCUUUCGAAAGGAAGAUUAAUACUCCAUAACAUAUUGAACGGCAUCGUUUAAUAUUGAAAGCUCCGGCGGAUAGAGAUGGGCACGCGCAAGAUUAGCUAGUUGGUGAGGUAACGGCUCACCAAGGCGAUGAUCUUUAGGGGGCCUGAGAGGGUGAUCCCCCACACUGGUACUGAGACACGGACCAGACUCCUACGGGAGGCAGCAGUGAGGAAUAUUGGUCAAUGGGUGCAAGCCUGAACCAGCCAUCCCGCGUGAAGGACGACUGCCCUAUGGGUUGUAAACUUCUUUUGUAUAGGGAUAAACCUACCCUCGUGAGGGUAGCUGAAGGUACUAUACGAAUAAGCACCGGCUAACUCCGUGCCAGCCGCCGCCGUAAAAC
rnacentral:rRNA from 1 species